rnacentral:rRNA from 1 species
AUUGAACGCUGGCGGCAGGCCUAACACAUGCAAGUCGAGCGGAUGAAGGGAGCUUGCUCCUGGAUUCAGCGGCGGACGGGUGAGUAAUGCCUAGGAAUCUGCCUGGUAGUGGGGGAUAACGUCCGGAAACGGGCGCUAAUACCGCAUACGUCCUGAGGGAGAAAGUGGGGGAUCUUCGGACCUCACGCUAUCAGAUGAGCCUAGGUCGGAUUAGCUAGUUGGUGGGGUAAAGGCCUACCAAGGCGACGAUCCGUAACUGGUCUGAGAGGAUGAUCAGUCACACUGGAACAGAGACACGGUCCAGACUCCUACGGGAGGCCGCAGUGGGGAAUAUUGGACAAUGGGCGAAAGCCUGAUACAGCCAUGCCGCGUGUGUGAAGAAGGUCUUCGGAUUGUAAAGCACUUUAAGUUGGGAGGAAGGGCAGUAAGUUAAUACCUUGCUGUUUUGACGUUACCAACAGAAUAAGCACCGGCUAACUUCGUG